ensembl:piRNA 21ur-8905 ncRNA
UAUUAUUGGCGUUAACAUUAG